UCGAGAAUCUUCGGCAAUGGGCGCAAGCCUGACCGAGCGACGCCGCGUGCGGGAUGAAGGCCUUCGGGUUGUAAACCGCUGUCAGAGGGGAGGAAAUGCUUGGUAACCCCAAGUUUGACCUAUCCUCAGAGGAAGUCCGGGCUAAGUUCGUGCCAGCAGCCGCGGUAAGACGAACCGGACAAACGUUAUUCGGAAUUAUUGGGCUUAAAGGGUGCGUAGGCGGCUUGGCAAGUUGGAUGUGAAAUCCCUCGGCUCAACCGAGGAACUGCGUCCAAAACUGCCAGGCUCGAGGGAGACAGAGGCGAGUGGAACUUGCGGUGGAGCGGUGAAAUGCGUUGAUAUCGCAAGGAACACCGGUGGCGAAAGCGGCUCGCUGGGUCUCUUCUGACGCUGAGGCACGAAAGCUAGGGGAGCGAACGGGAUUAGAUACCCCCGUAGUCC
rnacentral:rRNA from 1 species